rnacentral:rRNA from 1 species
UAGGGAAUUUUCGUCAAUGGGGGGAACCCUGAACGAGCAAUGCCGCGUGAGUGAAGACGGUCUUCGGAUUGUAAAGCUCUGUUGCGAGAGAAAAACGACACGGAUAGGGAAUGAUCCGUGGGUGAUGGUAUCUCGCCAGAAAGUCACGGCUAACUACGUGCCAGCAGCCGCGGUAAUACGUAGGUGGCGAGCGUUAUCCGGAAUGAUUGGGCGUAAAGGGUGCGUAGGCGGCCCGUUAAGUCUGGAGUCAAAGCCGGCAGCUCAACUGUCGUACGCUUUGGAAACUGGCGGGCUGGAGUGCAGAAGAGGGCGAUGGAACUCCAUGUGUAGCGGUAAAAUGCGUAGAUAUAUGGAAGAACACCAGUGGCGAAGGCGGUCGCCUGGUCUGCAACUGACGCUGAAGCACGAAAGCGUGGGGAGCAAAUAGG